GUAAGUCUGUGAGGUUGCACUUUGUGAAAACUGCCUGCUGUGUAUGUGGAAAGCGAAUUCAGCCAACCAUAACUGAUUUAGGAAGAUACUCCAGUGGAAAAAAAUGUUUCCACUGGGCUUGGAUACAGUGAGGAGUCCUGCUGUCUCAUUGGUGGAUAAUAAGGAACCAAUAAAAAGAACUCUUUGUGGACCGGCCUGCUUUUCUAAGGAUUAAACCUAAGCCCUGCUUCUAUAGUAAAUUUUUAUCUAGGAAAGUUGGAGCUUAUGAAAGAACUUUUGACUGGCAAUAUGUGUAUGUUUAUCUUACAAAUAAUUGGCACGACCUAUUAGAUUGAGCCAUAUCUGGUAUCUGACACACUUUAUCCCAAUGGGAGCAGCUCUGGACUUAGUGUUAAUCAGUAUGAACAUUAUUGUGUCUAAAGAGCAGUAAUCUAAGGCACUGACAUGCUUGACUAAAACUCCUUUAUGAAGUCUUAUGGCUUUGCAUGGAGUCACUUACACAUGGCAUGGUUUUGCUGGAACAUCAGGAGGAUUUUGUACACUGAAGUUUGCCAUAACUGGAAAGAUAUGUUCAAGUAAAUAAAGGUACAGUCUGAUAUUGGAACUUGCCUGCCACUGCUGAGUCCUCUUCAAAUUGUUAACUGGUAACUGCUGAAUGUAAAGGACUGGCCAAACGCUGAGGAGAAUUUUUGUUUGUGGACUGUUAUUGAGGCAACAGGAAACAGUCUGGAGGCCAACUCUUGUGCAGUGCCAAACUACAGGUGCCAACUAUCCAGUAAGGCUUUGAGGCCUUCCCAACUGCCCACUAUAUCACCGCUGUAUAUACAGACUACCCUCUGGAUAGCAUCCCCUCAGGCCAUUUUUAACUCAGCAAUUUGGCAUAUUCUUCUUUUAUAAAGGCUGAUUUUUCACCAUGUGGACCCCAAUCAUCCUUUAUUUUACGAAACUCUUCUUACAAAAAGUCCUAUAAUAUAUUUAAAAAAUUGAUCCCUAGCUUGGAGGUCCUGGGCAGCAGAAGGAAUAGCUACCAUUGGUGUAAUGAUUUGAAAACAAGGAUACUCAAGAGGACAGAAAUGAUGGAGUAUAAAUCUCUCAGGGGUUUGGUGUGCUGAAGAAGUUUACAAGGGAAGGGAAGACUGUGACCACAGAGGGGUUUUAGCAUGAACAUUUUAAGACUAAAGUCUUAACUGGGAGACAAAAAUAGGCCAGGCAAUGCAGGCGUUUUUGCUAACUUGAAGUUGGUGUAAUUAGGACAUUGGCAGCAGAUUUCUGGAUGACCUCAAGUUUAUUUAGGGUUGAAGUGGGAAUGGCCCAGAAUGCAAUAGAAUUGCAGCGACUACAUGAUUGGGUGAGAGCAAUAUUGUGAGGCAGGAGGCCUACUUAAUGAGGUGAGCAUGGGAGAAUAACUGGCAUUGCUCACAGAGGGAAAGUCCAUGACAUUUAGUCAAAAUAUGGGAUAAGUCAACAGAAUCUUUCUUGGACCAUUUAUCGAUUCCUCCGGUAAAUACAAACUCACUCAUAAUAAGGGAGUACAGCACCCAAAUUACAGGGCUGCUAAGUGAAUUUCAUAAUACUUCGCUCGGGGGCUCUCGUCAAACUAUGACCAGAUCUUCAGGUGUAAGAAGAAGUCAUUAUAUAACAUAGAAGUACCUUUUAAAAAAGCAUAUACACAAAGAUGUCUUUUAUGUUGUGCUCUUUACUUUUUGUUCAUUCUAAUUUCACUUUUCAAUGUCAGGAU